rnacentral:lncRNA from 1 species
AAAAUAGGGAAUAAAAUCCAAUUUAAAUAAAAUUCGACGCAAUAAGAAGAUUAUUGCGCAUUUCAUAACUUAAAAAACUAGCUUUCAUCUAAAAGAGGGACGAAAGAUACCAAAGGGACAGUCAAACUCAUAAAUCUAAAACAAACUGACAACGCCAUGGCUAAAAAUGAAAAGGACAAACAAACAACAGCACACACGACACAACAUAGAAAACUAAAGAAUAAACAACACGAACCCCAC